ACUCCUACGGGAGGCAGCAGUGGGGAAUAUUGGACAAUGGGGGCAACCCUGAUCCAGCGAUGCCGCGUGUGUGAAGAAGGCCUGAGGGUUGUAAAGCACUUUCGGUGGGGAGGAGGACUAUUAGGUUAAGAGCUAGAUAGUUGGACGUUACCCACAUAAGAAGCACCGGCUAACUCCGUGCCAGCAGCCGCGGUAAUACGAAGGGUGCAAGCGUUACU
rnacentral:rRNA from 1 species